ensembl:misc_RNA Metazoa_SRP Metazoan signal recognition particle RNA
GCUGGGCAUGGUGGUGUGUGCCUGUAGUCCCAGCUACUCGGGAGGCUGAGGCACAGGAAUUGCUUGAACCUGGGAGGCAGAGGUUGCAGUGCGCCGAGAUUGCAUCACUGCACUCUGGCCUGGGUGACAGAGCGAGACUCUGCCUCAA